rnacentral:rRNA from 1 species
GCGAUACAGGGUGACAGCCCCGUACACAAAAGCGCAUGUGCUGUGAGCUCGAUGAGUAGGGCGGGACACGUGGUAUCCUGUCUGAAUAUGGGGGGACCAUCCUCCAAGGCUAAAUACUCCUGACUGACCGAUAGUGAACCAGUACCGUGAGGGAAAGGCGAAAAGAACCCCGGCGAGGGGAGUGAAAAAGAACCUGAAACCGUGUACGUACAAGCAGUGGGAGCACAGGUUUACCUGUGUGACUGCGUACCUUUUGUAUAAUGGGUCAGCGACUUAUAUUCUGUAGCAAGGUUAACCGUAUAGGGGAGCCGGAGGGAAACCGAGUCUUAACCGGGCGUUAAGUUGCAGGGUAUAGACCCGAAACCCGGUGAUCUAGCCAUGGGCAGGUUGAAGGUUGGGUAACACUAACUGGAGGACCGAACCGACUAAUGUUGAAAAAUUAGCGGAUGACCUGUGGCUGGGGGUGAAAGGCCAAUCAAACCGGGAGAUAGCUGGUUCUCCCCGAAAGCUAUUUAGGUAGCGCCUCGUGAAUUCAUCUCCGGGGGUAGAGCACUGUUUCGGCUAGGGGGCCAUCCCGGCUUACCAACCCGAUGCAAACUGCGAAUACCGGAGAAUGUUAUCACGGGAGACACACGGCGGGUGCUAACGUCCGUCGUGAAGAGGGAAACAACCCAGACCGCCAGCUAAGGUCCCAAAGUCAUGGUUAAGUGGGAAACGAUGUGGGAAGGCCCAGACAGCCAGGAUGUUGGCUUAGAAGCAGCCAUCAUUUAAAGAAAGCGUAAUAGCUCACUGGUCGAGUCGGCCUGCGCGGAAGAUGUAACGGGGCUAAACCAU